GUUUGAAGAGGACAAAAA
rnacentral:sRNA from 1 species